rnacentral:rRNA from 1 species
AAUGAACGCUGGCGGCAUGCCUAACACAUGCAAGUCGAACGAAGGCUUCGGCCUUAGUGGCGCACGGGUGCGUAACGCGUGGGAAUCUGCCCUUGGGUUCGGAAUAACAGUUGGAAAUGACUGCUAAUACCGGAUGAUGUCGUAAGACCAAAGAUUUAUCGCCCAAGGAUGAGCCCGCGUAGGAUUAGCUAGUUGGUGGGGUAAAGGCCUACCAAGGCGACGAUCCUUAGCUGGUCUGAGAGGAUGAUCAGCCACACUGGGACUGAGACACGGCCCAGACUCCUACGGGAGGCAGCAGUGGGGAAUAUUGGACAAUGGGCGAAAGCCUGAUCCAGCAAUGCCGCGUGAGUGAUGAAGGCCUUAGGGUUGUAAAGCUCUUUUACCCGGGAUGAUAAUGACAGUACCGGGAGAAUAAGCUCCGGCUAACUUCGUG